GGAUGCGGUCAUACCAGCACUAAAGCACCGGAUCCCAUCAGAACUCCGAAGUUAAGCGUGCUUGGGCGAGAGUAGUACUAGGAUGGGUGACCGCCUGGGAAGUCCUCGUGUUGCAUUCU
rnacentral:rRNA from 1 species